rnacentral:rRNA from 1 species
GGCGGACGGGUGAGUAACACGUGGGUAACCUGCCCAUAAGACUGGGAUAACUCCGGGAAACCGGGGCUAAUACCGGAUAACAUUUUGAACUGCAUGGUUCGAAAUUGAAAGGCGGCUUCGGCUGUCACUUAUGGAUGGACCCGCGUCGCAUUAGCUAGUUGGUGAGGUAACGGCUCACCAAGGCAACGAUGCGUAGCCGACCUGAGAGGGUGAUCGGCCACACUGGGACUGAGACACGGCCCAGACUCCUACGGGAGGCAGCAGUAGGGAAUCUUCCGCAAUGGACGAAAGUCUGACGGAGCAACGCCGCGUGAGUGAUGAAGGCUUUCGGGUCGUAAAACUCUGUUGUUAGGGAAGAACAAGUGCUAGUUGAAUAAGCUGGCACCUUGACGGUACCUAACCAGAAAGCCACGGCUAACUACGUGCCAGCAGCCGCGGUAAUACGUAGGUGGCAAGCGUUAUCCGGAAUUAUUGGGCGUAAAGCGCGCGCAGGUGGUUUCUUAAGUCUGAUGUGAAAGCCCACGGCUCAACCGUGGAGGGUCAUUGGAAACUGGGAGACUUGAGUGCAGAAGAGGAAAGUGGAAUUCCAUGUGUAGCGGUGAAAUGCGUAGAGAUAUGGAGGAACACCAGUGGCGAAGGCGACUUUCUGGUCUGUAACU